rnacentral:rRNA from 1 species
UCCUACGGGGGGCAGCAGUGGGGAAUAUUGGGCAAUGGGGGGAACCCUGACCCAGCGACGCCGCGUGAGGGAAGAAGGUUUUCGGAUUGUAAACCUCUGUCCUUGGUGACGAUAAUGACGGUAGCCAAGGAGGAAGCCACGGCUAACUACGUGCCAGCAGCCGCGGUAAUACGUAGGUGGCGAGCGUUGUCCGGAAUUACUGGGUGUAAAGGGAGCGUAGGCGGCAGGGCAAGUCUGGAGUGAAAGGCAGGGGCCCAACCCCUGGACUGCUCUGGAAACUGUCCGGCUGGAGUGCAGGAGAGGUA